GGCUGAUUGGCCAGGCAAAUCCGGAUAAUCAAGGCUUAGGUGUGAUGACGAGGCACUACGGUGCUGAAGUAACAAAUGCCCUGCUUCCAGGAAAAGCCUCUAAGCAUCAGGUAACAUUAAAGCGUACCCCAAACCGACACAGGUGGUCAGGUAGAGAAUACCAAGGCGCUUGAGAGAACUCGGGUGAAGGAACUAGGCAAAAUGGUGCCGUAACUUCGGGAGAAGGCACGCUGGUGUGUAGGUGA
rnacentral:rRNA from 1 species